GAUGAACGCUGGCGGCGUGCCUAAUACAUGCCAGUCGAGCGAACGGACGAGAAGCUUGCUUCUCUGAUUUUAUCGGCGGACGGGUGCUUAACACGUGGAUAACCUACCUAUAAGACUGGGAUAACUUCGGGAAACCGUAGCUAAUACCGGAUAAUAUUUUGAACCGCAUGGUUCAAAAGUUAAGUACGGUCUUGCUGUCACUUAUAGAUUAAUCCGCGCUGCAUUAGCUAGUUGGUAAGGUAACGGCUUAACAAGGCAACGAUGCAUAGCCGACCUGAGAGGGUGAACGACCACACGGGAACUGAGACACGGCACAGACUCCGACGGGAGGCAGCAGUAGGGAAUCUUCCGCAAGGGGCGAAAGCCUGACGGAGCAAAGCCGCGGGAGUGAUGAAGGUCUUAGGAUCGUAAAACGAUGUUAGUAGGGAAGAACAUAUGUGUAAGUAACUGUGAAGAUAAUGACGGUACCGAAUCAGAAAGCCACGGCUAACUACGUG
rnacentral:rRNA from 1 species